CAGCUACUCCCUCCGUUCGGAAUUACUUGUCGCGGAAAUGGAUGUAUCUAGACGUAUUUUAGUUCUAGAUACAUCCAUUUUCGCGACAAGUAAUUCCGAACGGAGGGAGUAUUUU
rnacentral:pre_miRNA from 1 species